UACGUAGGGUGCAAGCGUUAAUCGGAAUUACUGGGCGUAAAGCGUGCGCAGGCGGUUCGUUGUGUCGGUGGUGAAAGCCCCGGGCUUAACCUGGGAAUGGCCAUGGAAACUGGCGAACUGGAGUGUGGCAGAGGGGGGUGGAAUUCCCGGUGGUAGCGGUGAAAUGCUUAGAUAUGACAUAGAACACCAAUUGCGAAGGCAGCUGGCUACAGGGAUAUUGACACUGAGGCACGAAAGCGUGGGGAGUCAAACAGGA
rnacentral:rRNA from 1 species